GCAGCGUUGCAGGUGACUGCUUGACCCAAAAAUCAAGAGGAAAGUCCGGGCUACAAUGAGACAAAAUUCCAUCUAACGGAUGGCGGCUCCGCAAGGAGUUAGGGCUAGUGCAACAGAGAAUAGACAGCCGUGCAAACGGUGAUGGUGAAACGGUGAGGUAAGAGCUCACCAGUGGUGUGAGUAAUCACAUCAGCUUGGUAAACCCAAUUUGUAGCAAGAGAACUCUGGUAACAGUCUCAUACUGCUUUCGGGCAGGUUGGUUCUCGCUUAAGGUUGCUGGCGACAGUAAUCGUAGAUAAAUAGUCACCCACGACAGAACUCGGCUUAUCGCAACGCUGCUCUA
rnacentral:RNase_P_RNA from 2 species